rnacentral:rRNA from 1 species
CAGUCGCCACGGUAAUACGUAGGUGGCAAGCGUUGUCCGGAAUUAUUGGGCGUAAAGGGCUCGCAGGCGGUUUCUUAAGUCUGAUGUGAAAGCCCCCGGCUCAACCGGGGAGGGUCAUUGGAAACUGGGAAACUUGAGUGCAGAAGAGGAGAGUGGAAUUCCACGUGUAGCGGUGAAAUGCGUAGAGAUGUGGAGGAACACCAGUGGCGAAGGCGACUCUCUGGUCUGUAACUGACGCCGAGGAGCGAGAGCGUGGGGAGCAAACAGGAUUAGAUACCCCUGUAGUCCCUGUCUCUUAUAC